GACGUCAUUAAUUACAUCAUUUGUGAGGAUGGAACAGAUCAGCCAGCAACACAGCGAGCAUAUCACCCUGAAGAACUGAAGUCGAAUGAGACAUUAAAACCAGAUAUCAAGUAUAUCUUUCGCAGCAAAUUCAUCCUGUUGUUUCGCGGUUGUGUGACCCUAUUGAAGGUGUUGACUCAGCUCAAAUUGCGGAACAUUUAGGUCUUGAUCCAUUUCAUAUAGACAGUCUACGAUAGGCCGGAAUGAAGAUCUAGCCAACGGAGAUUAUAGCACUUUAGGAACACUAACCGAUGAAGAACGAUAUAAAAAACUGUGACAAAUUUACUUUCAAAUGUUCACAUUGCAGUGCAGAAAUAAUCAUGGAUGGACCGUCACGAAAAACGGUGAGUGCUACUUCAAUUACACCUAAAUCCACAAUUGUAACGCAAGAGCAGUUACAGUAACAAAUUUAAAUCAUUUUUUGCUGGUUGAUUUGUCA
rnacentral:lncRNA from 1 species